rnacentral:misc_RNA from 1 species
AACAAGGCGUACCUGCGGACCUGCGGAAGGAUCAUUACCGAGUUAGGGUAGUCACUCACUGCCCGACCUCCCAGCCCUGUGUCUAUCACACUUUGUCGUUGCUUCGGCGGACCGGUUGACCAACUGGUCAUGACCGCCGGGGGCUGGCUCUGUCCCCCCUGGAGAGCGUCCGCCGAUGGCCCAACCACAAAACUCUUGUACCGAAACGUGUCGUCUGAAUUAUGUUUGAGAAAUCAAAAA